ensembl:snRNA U6 U6 spliceosomal RNA
UUGCUUCAGCAACACAUAUAUUAAAAUUGGAAUGCUACAGAAAGGAUUAGCAUGGUCUCCGUGCAAGGAUGUCACAGAAAUCUGUGAAGAUUUCCAUAUUUAA